UGAACUUCACUUAAUGAGAUUUGAUGUGUGUGUGCAGCCUUAAUACUUCCCUCCAUGCAAAACAAUAAACACACUCACCAACCUCUGUACUCUCUACCCCACAUGCUCCAUUCUGUUCAACCCACAAGAAGCCACAGGUCUUCCUGUCACUAAAGCCUAUUGUGUGCUUUUAGAAUUUUGUAUGAACACAAUCAGAUUGGAGCUUCCAUUUGGCAACUCGUUCUCUGGUCUGAAGCACUUCCAUUAAUGUUCAUGGCAGGAAAACUCGCCUGUCAGAGGUCAGACAGAUCCUGAGCUAUUCUGUGACAUAACAACCUCAGUCAGGUCCUGGAAGUGAGACACUCUCAGGUCAAGUGCACGAGGGACAGCAGCCUGGACGGAUGUAGACUGGAGGGUGUAUGGCUGUCUGUCCCUUCCUACUGCUUGCCUGCGUCCCCACUCACACCAUUUACACUUCACUUACCACCAGAUAAGUGGUUCAUGUUGUGAUUACAGCAGUCAGGAAGCUGAGGCAGGGGGUUUGUGGUCUUUUAUUCCCCCAUUACCUCAUUCUUCGACUAAAAAAAAGAAAAUGGUGAUGUAGCUACAAGAACCCCGAUGGGAUCCCUGGACCUUACCAGUGCCAGCACAGGAGUUUUGAUAAAUGUAAAACCUCCUUAACCAGCAAGUAGCUCAAACAAGACGAAAAUCUCAAUGCCACAUAGAACAGCCCACUGUGUCCCUCUCUAGUUGCCACCCGCCUCCAUUCCAGAGCGGCUGCUCUGGUUUCAUCACCCAGGGCUCCAGAACUUGAUGGUUGUUUGUCUACCACAGCAUCUGUUCGCAUCCGGAUAAUCUCAAUCCACGCUAUGGUAUUUCAAGAGAUGCUUUCAUUUGUAUCCUUCCUUGGCAUUGGGUAGUCUCCGGUGUCACUUGCUGAACAGCCUGUCUCCCAUUCAUUUGCUCAGAACAGUUGUCCAAAAUCAUGCUCUUCAAGACACACAGGGGUGGGCCUAGGCCCUAUCCCAAAGGAGCCGAUAGACUCUGAUGAGCCCCUAUGGAAGGCCUCACCCUCCAGGGGGAGCAGAAAAGAUAUGUGACAGAUAAGGUUUUAUUUGGGGGUGGGGAUGGUAGGGGAGGAUGGGAGGGAGAAGGAAACUGG
rnacentral:lncRNA from 1 species